CUCAACAACAUGGUCCUGCCCAGCAGCAGACCACCCAGGAAGGUAACUAAACUUUUUUGGGGUACGCUUUUGUUCAUUCCAUCAGUUACAAGCUGGGGAUUUGAUCUCAGACAGUUGAAUGAUAUUAGAUAUAGCCUAUUGCCAUGUCUGGUAGCAUUGCUGCCAAUUGCACUUCAUGUCCUGACUGUUUUGGUUAUGAAACUUCUACUCUUCGAAAAAAGGGUUCCAAAAGGAUUCUUCGUCUGUCACCAUAGGAUAACUAUUUUUGUUCCAGGUAGAACCCUCUGUGAAAAGGGUCCUUCGUGGAACCCAAAAGGCUUAUACUUGGAACCAAAAGGGUUCUACCUGGAACCAAAAAGGAUUCUUCAAGGGUUCUCCUAUGGGGACAGCCAAAGACCCAUUUUAGGUUUUAGAUAACCACUUUUUUUUUUUUACCAAGAGUGUGGACUGUGAAUUGGUACCUGUCUGUUCUGGACAGACAGCUGUGUUGUCUGGGCUGUAUCGCCCUUUACUGCAUUUAUGUUGUUGUAUCUCCCUUAACUGUCAAUUACCUGAUUGUGUUUACUUUGUUGUAUUGUUUACACCCCAGUUGCUCUGUUUGGGCAUUAAUGUGGCCUCUUAGGUAUUUAUCUCUACCAGAGAGAUAGAGAUUACCAGUUGCUGGCUCCUUCGUACAAGAGCUAUUUCAGGCUCAAUACAGAUCCUCGCUGACUUGCCCUCACUGCCAGAAACGGAGCAACACCUUUGACCCUUUCCUCUGCAUCUCACUGCCCAUCCCUGUACCACACACUCGGCCCCUGUAUGUGACGGUAGUGUACCAGGGGAAGUGUUCCCACUGUAUGACAGUGGGUGUGGCGGUGCCUCUCUCCAGCACUGUGUCCAGACUGAGAAAUGCUGUGGCCCAGGAGACCAACAUACCCUCUGAACAGGUACCAAGUCCAAUAUCCUCGAACUGUUUAUACGUUUUGUAUACAGAUGAACUGAUCGGAAACAAGUCUGCAAUGAAUGAAAAUGCCUACCCUUCUAAAAAAGCAACCUUCACCCCUAUUCAGACUGAAACAUAAAAUGUCAAAACUAUUCAAUUCCAAACUUGAGCAAUUUAAGUUGUAGUCAUGUUCAUGCAUUAUUGAAGUAGGAUGUGUGUUUGUUUUUGAAGCAAGUUCAGCCAAUAAUGGGACUAAAGGCCCUUGUCAUUACAGAGAAAUCGAUUGUCUCAGUUUUAAACAAUUCCCUGUUUGUGUUUGAGGUGUCCUCCAGUGUCAUGGGAGGCUCAGAUCAUGUGAUAUUGUUUGCUCAUCCUAUUUUAUA